rnacentral:rRNA from 1 species
GUGCCAGCAGCCGCGGUAAUACCGGCAGCCCGAGUGAUGGCCGAUAUUAUUGGGCCUAAAGCGUUCGUAGCCGGCCGCGCAAGUUCGUCGGGAAAUCCACUCGCUUAACGAGUGGGCGUCCGGCGAAAACUGUGCGGCUUGGGACCGGAAGAUCCAAGGGGUACGUCCGGGGUAGGAGUGAAAUCCCGUAAUCCUGGACGGACCACCGAUGGCGAAAGCACUUCGAGAAAACGGAUCCGACAGUGAGGGACGAAAGCCAGGGUCUCCAACCGGAUUAGAUACCCCUGUAGUCC